rnacentral:rRNA from 1 species
UACGUAGGGUGCAAGCGUUAAUCGGAAUUACUGGGCGUAAAGCGUGCGCAGGCGGUUUUGUAAGUCUGACGUGAAAGCCCCGGGCUUAACCUGGGAAUUGCGUUGGAGACUGCAAGGCUUGAAUCUGGCAGAGGGGGGUAGAAUUCCACGUGUAGCAGUGAAAUGCGUAGAUAUUGGGAGGAACACCAGUGGCGAAGGCGGCUCACUGGGUCAAGAUUGACGCUCAUGCACGAAAGCGUGGGGAGCAAACAGG